ensembl:lncRNA
GCCAAGGCUGUCUGUCUCGCACCGGUGCACUUGACAGGUGAAGCGGAGCACAGGGAGUGCGCGGAGGCGCUUUUAGUGCCAGUUCACGCGUAAGAAACGCCAACGCGUCCGCCAGUCAGUCUGCUUUCACGUCGAGUGAGGAGGUCCAGGACUUUGGUUUCACAGAUGGAGGCUCUUGUUGGUUUAACAGCACUACUGCUUUCAUAUUUCAGAGGGUGGAGACAAGAAGCAGACCUGCACCGUGUCAUCGAGGGGAGGGCCUUGGUGCUGCUAUAUGAUUUAGAGCAAGUAUAUUUGAACUUCACACUGCAUGUGACGGGAGGGAUGAGAGCGAGGACGGCAGAGUGUGUGAGAGGAGGGAGAGAGAGAGAGAGAGAGAGAGAGAGAGAGAGCGUCAGAGGGAGAGCGGGGGCGAGGUCCACCUCCCAGGGAAAUAAUGGGGAUGAUAAUAAAACAGGGGGACAACCCGUCACAUGGAAGCUGAAUGGAUGGAGCCAGAGAGACGUCACGACCAGCCGCAGCCAUGAAGACUGAGCUCCAGCCUCCGACUGCUCACUCGAUCUCCAUCCCCCAAGCUGCCUUCUUCUUCUCGGCUGUAGAAAGCGCACAGAGCCGCAGUGACCCACAGACGACGGCGCUUCACCAUCACCACCACACCACAGAAGAAAAGCUAGCAAACAGAACACUGAAAAAACAUAAGAAGAAGAACAAGAAGAAGAACGAGGAGGAGGAGGAGGAGGAGGAGGGGUUGCUGUUGAUUCUGCCUCCCUCUCUCCUCACCCUCUUCUGCAUCACCUCCUCCUUCCACCUCGGCUCCAUCGUCAGCAUACUGCCCUCCUUUUCCUGUACAGCAAAGACGCAGCCCGGACCACCAUCUUAGAGAAACGCUGGCACGAAAUGGAAGCGCGAGGAUCGACCAGCACAGGUGAUCGCUGAGGGCAGGAAACGACCCUGGACGUCUGCAGAUGUGGAUCAGCGAUGUCCACUUGUCCACACUGUCUGUGGACACAAAGCUAAAGACUUUGGAUGAACUGGUCCCAAAAUGGGCUCCUCCAGCUAGAUAGAGAAUGUGAUGUUGAGGCCUAGCCCACCUUUAGUUGGAUUUCUGUUUUGCUAUAGUUGCUAGGACCUGUGAAUGUGAGACCCACGACAGCAGUGAAUUACUCUGCACUGCGAUUGGACGGCUCCAUGUGUCAGCUGGCACAGUGGCGAAGGAGCGAGCUGUCGUCUUUAUACUCUAUGCAACCGAUUCAUCUUUCACUUUGUUUUCAUGAAAGUGGACACACACACUCACACACAAAUGCCAUUCUGUAUUUUUGAUGUGUGGGCUACCAGCUUAUAAAGAUUUCUUUGGGAAAAUAUUGUGUGCGUGCGUGUGUGUGUGUGUGUGUGUGUGUGUGUGUGUGUGUGUGUGUGUGUUGACUCAGUCAGAUUUGACCCUGCAGCUAAAGUGCGAGCAAACCUGUUGUCCCAUUCACGAUGACAACAGCGUGAACGUGCUAGAUCAGCAGGAAAUGGUAGAGCUGGGCCGCGGUGUGUGUUCACACACACACGUGCACUAUUCCAGCCUUCCCAGCAGGCUUUGAUCUUGUACCUGCACGGCUGCAACAAUACAUCUUUUGGGUGAGACAUGACAAAUACUCUGUCCUAAUUUCCUGUCCUCAGCUUUAACAACACACACACACACACGCACACACACACACACACACAGACUUAAUAAAUCAAGUAAUAUCAGGCUAAUUCAUUUUAUAUUAAUUUUUGGAAAGUGGCAAAUUUUUUUAUUACGACUGAUAAUCUAUGCAAAUCUUUUAAAUAUUACUUUAAACAAUCUGUGUCUGUGCAGCCCUUUUGCAAUUGAUUCAAGGGAGACUUAUCUUGGCCUAAUUUAGAAAAUGUAUUCUUUUGAUAAUCAUGCACAUCCCUGCGCUCGAGACAAUUACUUAUCUGCCUGGAUAAGCUUGAAAUUAUGUUUUUAAUCUUUUGGGGAGAAAAAAGUCUUUCCUCUGAUAUCAGUCCAGAUGCAUUGAAACCAUAAAUUGUGGUCUAAAAAAUUAAAUUGUUGCACUAAAUCUCUCUAUUUCUUUCUCUUCUUAAGUGCAGAUCAAAUAGAUCUGUUCUGCUGGAGCUUGGUGAAGAGUAUAGCUUCAUUAGAGAUGUUGACGUUACGUCAUGUGCAUUCACGUGUUCACCAGAUGUGCCUUUUUUAACGGAAUAAUGUGAUGACGCUAAUAAAGGUUGACACUGAAAACAAACCUGGAAAAAUGUUUUUUGUAAAAUUCAU